ACUCAAAUGAAUUGACGGGGACUUGCACAAGCGGUGGAUCAUGCGGCUUAAUUCGAUGACAAACGAAAAACCUCACCAGGGCUAGACAUCCAGACGAAAUCCUUAGGAAACUAAGGACCUCGCAAGACGGCUGGACAGGUGAUGCAUGGUCGUCGUCAGUUCGUGGCUUGAGUUGUUCCCUUCAGUGGGGUAACGAACGCAACCCUCGUUGCCUGUUUUAUAAGUCAGGCGAGACUGCCCCCUCACGGGGGAGGAAGGUGAGGAUGACGCCAGAUCAGCAUGUCCCUCUGAUGUCCUGGGCUGCACGCAUGAUACAAUGGGCGCGACAACGUGAAGCAAUAGGGUAACCUGGAGCAAAUCAUAAUAAACGCGCCCCCAGUUCGGAUUGAGGUCUGCAACUCGACCUCAUGAAGCCGGAAUCGCUAGUAAUCGCGGGUCAGCUAUACCGCGGUGAAUACGUUCUCAAGUCUUGUACACACCGCCCGU
rnacentral:rRNA from 1 species